rnacentral:rRNA from 1 species
CCUUCCGCGAUUGGAUGAACCUAGGUGGGAUUAGCUAGUUGGUGAGGUAAUGGCUCACCAAGGCGACGAUCCCUAGCUGUUCUGAGAGGAUGAUCAGCCACACUGGGACUGAGACACGGCCCAAACUCCUACGGGAGGCAGCAGUGGGGAAUAUUGCACAAUGGGGGAAACCCUGAUGCAGCCAUGCCGCGUGUGUGAAGAAGGCCUUCGGGUUGUAAAGCACUUUCAGUAGGGAGGAAAGGGUGUAACUUAAUACGUUAUAUCUGUGACGUUACCUACAGAAGAAGGACCGGCUAACUCCGUGCCAGCAGCCGCGGUAAUACGGAGGGUCCGAGCGUUAAUCGGAAUUACUGGGCGUAAAGCGUGCGCAGGCGGUUUGUUAAGCGAGAUGUGAAAGCCCUGGGCUCAACCUAGGAAUAGCAUUUCGAACUGGCGAACUAGAGUCUUGUAGAGGGGGGUAGAAUUCCAGGUGUA